ensembl:lncRNA
AUGAAAAAAAACUGUCCUGUAGUAAAGAAAGUAGUAAAACUGAAAUCUGAUGAAAAACCGUGGAUAACUAAUGGAAUAUUAAAGGCAUGUAAGAAGAAAAAUGUAUUAUAUAAUGAAUUUUUAAAGAAGAGGACAAAAGAAGCAGAAAAUAAAUAUAAGAUAUAUAAAAACAAACUAACCAGAAUUAUGAGAAGCAAUAAAAAGAAGUAUUAUAGUAAACUACUGGAGGACAACAGAAGCAAUUUAAGAAAUACCUGGAAAGUGCUGAAUGAAAUUAUCAAGAAUAAAAAAGGUAAAACGGGAGACACUAACUAUUUUCUGACAAAAGAUAAUAUAGAAGUUAAGGAUAUGACCGUAGCUGCAAAUGAAUUUAAUGAUUUUUUUGUUGGAGUUGGUCCAGGCUUAGCUGAGGGGUUUGCAAAGACUGGCAGUAUAAAUGAUGUGUUAAGCAAGAAUGUAAAUAUUAUUGAAUCUAUGUUUGUUAAGGAAACUGAUGAAAAAGAAAUUAUAGAGAUUGUUAAAACAUUUAAGAGUAAAAAGUCAACUGACUGGAAUGGUAUUGACAUGUUUAUGAUAAAAAGUAUUAUUGGUUGUGUUGUUAAACCUUUAACGCAUGUAUGUAAUCAAUCUUUGAAAACUGGAGUUUUUCCAGAUAAAAUGAAAAUGGCAAAAGUGAUACCAAUAUAUAAGGCUGGUGAAAAACAUACACUUUCAGACUACAGACCGGUUUCACUGCUCUCCCAAUUUUCAAAAAUACUAGAAAAAAUAUUCUCUGAAAGGCUCGAUAACUUCAUUACUAAACAUAAUAUACUGUGUGAUCAGCAAUAUGGUUUCAGGACUAAUAGGACAACCUCACAUGCACUUAUUCAAUUUGUGGAAGAAAUAACAACAGCAAUAGAACAAAAAAAAUAUGCAGUAGGGAUAUUCUUGGAUCUUAAGAAAGCAUUUGAUACAGUAGACAACAAUUUUUUGAUUAUGGAAUUAGGGGGACUGCACUUUCUUGGUUAA